AGUUGGAUUCACUUGUAUAUAAUAUACAGAUUGUAUAAUUUCGUCGCACACACAAAUCGAUUUUUUUUUUGAAAUCCAAAAACGAGUCAAAAUAAUAAAUAUAUAAAUAAUACUUUUUUUGCUGAAUUACAACAAAAAAAUUCAACAAAUUAUUCGAAAAAAAACUUUCUUAAAAAAAUAAAAACUGAUAAAAAUGAUUAAAAAAAUUAAUCGAAAUGUUAAAAAUAUGUUUUUUAAAUUGAAUUAAAUCUAUUCUAUGCUUUAUUCCCAUUAGGGGAAUUUCGAAUUAUAAAUUAAUUAAGACUACAUUUAUUCUUAAAACAGCGAUAAAAGAAAAAGAACAGGGGAGGAAAAACCGAUUUCGCAAAUAUACGGCAUAGCGUAUAAAGCCAUGAAAUCUGGAAGGUACCAAUAAGUUGUUAGAUUGGGAAGGUUAUCACCUAUAAAGCUGUUAGUAGCGUGGAAAGGUUGUCACCUAUAAUAUUGCUAAUUAGUUACAAUUAAUUAAGGUUUUCAGUUGAGAUAAUUAAUUUUAAUAUAUUAAUUGGUCAAGCGGACCAUGAAACUAGAGAAUUGAAUUGCUAAUUAGGUAAGGGGGCUGUAAAGUUGUUAGAUUGGGAAGGUUAUCACCUAUAAAUCUGUUAGCGAAGGAAGGUUAUAACCUAUAAUAUUGCUAAUUAGAUAAUAACCUAUAAAGUUGUUAGAUUAGGAAGAUUAUAAUCUGUAAAGUUGUUAGCUUGGGAAGGUUACCUAUAAAGCCAGUGCGGCCCUGAAUUCGGUUUUCCCCCUCUAACUUCAAAACUUGGUUAAUAAAUACUUAAAAAAUAUAUAAUAAUCUCGAAUUAAAAAAGAAACCCUGUAUUUUCAAUAAUACUGUGAUGUAAAUAGUUCGGCGGGGCGCGACCUCCUCAGAUUGUCUAGUAACUUCACAAAAGGACGGUCAAAAGUUCACGUGAGUAAAUAUGGGAUUGCUAUGCUUUCUUUUCUUAAUUUUUUUUAAUUACAAUUCAAAACAAACCUUAUCGCCUAGUUGGUCAAUAGUUUUUGGUUUCUUUUUUCCUUCAAAAAGGUUUUCAUUUUUUUUUUGGGGGGGGGGACCUGUAUAAAAAUCACAGCGGUGGGUGGUACCACCAAUUUUCUUUUCCGGAGCUGGCCUAGUAGAUUCUAUCAGGCGAGUGUCGUAUCGAAAAAUAUUCGCAGGAGGGCUUUAAAGGAUUUUUUACCCCCCUCUCUGCAUUCAAGACCAUAGAAAAUAUCGUCCGGAGAAAUUACAAAAAUCUACCCCAAUUUUGUCUCUUUUUUUUUUCUUCUUUUAUAUUCGAACAAACAGCAGUCUUUGGAGCAGUCUCAACGCGACGAGGGUUGGGGAUGGGGACUUAGAAAAGCCCAAAUAUCAAGUAUCAAGUCCGAUAUCAAACUUUGUCUAAAGAACAUCUUUAAAUUUCGGUAAUUAUAAAAAUUUCAAUAGUUUUCCUGUGAUCUGGAAACCCACCGAAUAUGCAGACCAUGACAAUGCAGCCGAAAGAUAAAAGAGAUAAGUUCUUGGAUUAGGAACUGUUACUAGGUCACUUUAAUCCUGAUACCUGAAGUGUAAGAGUUCUUGGACACGAUAAAGAUUGAAUUAUUGUAAUAGGUGACAGAAGUACAGUUUAUCCUGGGUUUGUAAGAGCUCUUGAAUCGGGAGAAAAAUAUUUUUUUUUAAAGUGACAAGAGGUCAACUUAUGAUAUCUGAGGUGAAAGAGCUCUUGUAUCAGGAGGAGAAAGAUUAACUUUUUUAGAAGGAGAAAGGAAGUCAUUUUAUCCUGAUAUCUUUGAUGUAAGAGCUCUUGUAUCA